rnacentral:lncRNA from 1 species
UAUACACACACGCGCACUAAUUUUUACGUAAAUCCAAUGAUGACGUCUCGCUCAGUCAAAAGCUGUCACGCUUAAUGCCGUUACCAUGGUAAUCGAACUACCCGCGCCAAUUAGAAUUGCUAUUAGAUAUGUGAUUAUUCCGUGACUACCUCCAAAUUCUGUAAUGGCUGCCGAUAGAAUACCGAUAAGGGCUCCAGUAAGUCAUCCUUUUCAUCGAGCAAUACCAUGGAUUCUCCAUUAUUCGGAAGGACUAUCCACGUAACAAUGAAAACUACAACUGCUGCGCUUACCUGUGCCGAAUACCUGUAAUGGAAACGGUGUAUAAGUAAGUGAAUUUAAUUUAGACGAUCAAUCAUGCUUACCUUAUUGCUGUUAAUUCGGUUCGACCAAGUAAUGAACUUGUUAACGAUGGUAUCAUUGACAAAUGUGAAAUCUGUACGGCUGCCCAGCCAAUUUGAAAGAUCACGAUACUUAGUAUGUAAAAGAAUACGAUGACAGAGUUAGGACUAUUAGCGAAUCCUCCAAAAAUCAUAGGAAAACUAAAUGUUACUAAAAUGGAGCCAAUAAUGUGCCAGAUCUUUUUCUUGCAAUAACGGUCGACAAGAAAACCAAAGAUCGGUGUUGUGAAAGCAUCCACAAUUUGACCUUUAAAAUAUAAUGUUUUAAGUAUUAGUUCUUAUUAUAAAAAAAGAUUUAAAAGCUAACUUUUAUUAAUUAUUCUAUUAUUUACCUAAUAACAAUAAUGUCCCAGCCAUUAUUGGCGCCAUUAGAGCAACUUUUUGUAGGUAAAUUAAAGUAUAAGAAAACCACAUGGCUGCUGCCAAAUCAUUGAAAAUAUGUCCCAAAGCGUAUGCCAAUUUGGUUGACAUAAAUACUCUAUUAGUUUCCGUGA